rnacentral:rRNA from 1 species
GACGAACGCUGGCGGCGUGCCUAAUACAUGCAAGUCGAGCGGAUUGAUGGGAGCUUGCUCCCUGAUAUCAGCGGCGGACGGGUGAGUAACACGUGGGCAACCUGCCUAUAAGACUGGGAUAACUUCGGGAAACCGGAGCUAAUACCGGAUCAUUCCUUUCCUCACAUGGGGGGAAGGCCAAAAGAUGGUUUACGCUAUCACUUAUAGAUGGGCCCGCGGCGCAUAGCUAGUUGGUGAGGUAAUGGCUCACCAAGGCAACGAUGCGUAGCCGACCUGAGAGGGUGAUCGGCCACACUGGGACUGAGACACGGCCCAGACUCCUACGGGAGGCAGCAGUAGGGAAUCUUCCGCAAUGGACGAAAGUCUGACGGAGCAACGCCGCGUGAGUGAUG